UACGUAGGGGGCAAGCGUUGUCCGGAAUCAUUGGGCGUAAAGAGCGUGUAGGCGGCCCGGUAAGUCCGCUGUGAAAGUCCAGGGCUCAACCCUGGGAUGCCGGUGGAUACUGUCGGGCUCGAGUCCGGAAGAGGAGUGUGGAAUUCCUGGUGUAGCGGUGAAAUGCGCAGAUAUCAGGAGGAACACCUGUGGUGUAGACGGCUUACUGGACCGCAACUGACGCUGAGACACGAAAGCGUGGGUAGCAAACAGG
rnacentral:rRNA from 1 species